rnacentral:rRNA from 1 species
CCUACGGGAGGCAGCAGUGGGGGAUAUUGCACAAUGGGGGAAACCCUGAUGCAGCGACGCCGCGUGGGCGAAGAAGUAUUUCGGUAUGUAAAGCCCUAUCAGCAGGGAAGAAGAAAUGACGGUACCUGAGUAAGAAGCACCGGCUAAAUACGUGCCAGCAGCCGCGGUAAUACGGAUGGUGCAAGCGUUAUCCGGAUUUACUGGGUGGAAAGGGAGCGCAGGCGGCGCGGCAAGCCUGAUGUGAAAGCUCGCGGCCCAACCGCGGGACUGCAUUGGGAACUACCGGGCUGGAGUGCCGGAGAGGUAGGCGGAAUUCCUGGUGUAGCGGUGAAAUGCGUAGAUAUUAGGAGGAACACCAGUGGCGAAGGCGGCCUACUGGACGGUAACUGACGCUGAGGCUCGAAAGCGUGGGGAGCAAACAGGAUUAGAUACCCCAGUAGUC